CCUGAGAUCAAAAUACAUGAGAUGAGCGUAAGAAACACUUCGAAAAAAAAUCUGGAUCUUCAUCUCAGAUUUUGAAAAAAUUCCAAGGCUAUAGGCUUACUGUUUUUCUCAGCAAAAAAGUGAAGUAUCCCCUACAAUGAUUCCGGGACGCUUCUCCCAUGUAAAAAAGCGUUUCGAACAAGAAGCCGUCAAUCAAAUUGAGCUGGCAUUCGGAUUCCUGAGAUCAAAAUACAUGAGGAUAGCAUGACAAACCCUCCCAAAAAAAAUCUGAAUCUUCAUCUCAGAUUUGGAGAAAAUUCCAAGGCUAUAGGCUUACUGUUUUUCUCAGCAAAAAAGUGAAGUAUCCCCUACAAUGAUUCCGGGACGCUUCUCCCAUGU